rnacentral:tRNA from 1 species
GGGGUUGUGGCUCAGUGGUAGAGCAUUCACCUAGCAUGUGUGAGGCCCUGGGUUUGACCCUCAGAACCACA